UACGUAGGGUGCAAGCGUUGUCCGGAAUUAUUGGGCGUAAAGAGCUCGCAGGCGGUCUGUCGCGUCGGCUGUGAAAACUCGGGGCUCAACCCCGAGCCUGCAGUCGAUACGGGCAGACUAGAGUGCUGUAGGGGAGGCUGGAAUUCCUGGUGUAGCGGUGAAAUGCGCAGAUAUCAGGAGGAACACCGGUGGCGAAGGCGGGUCUCUGGGCUGACACUGACGCUCAUGCACGAAAGCGUGGGGAGCAAACAGG
rnacentral:rRNA from 1 species